CGAGGCCCAUACAAAAUCGUGUGGCCCAGGGUGGUGACAUUCUGCGGAAAAAUUCCCGAAAUUGCUGGAAACUCCUAAUUUUUAGGACAAUCAGCAGCCAAGCCCACCGGUAACUACGUAGCUGUUGGUGGGAAGGUUCAGAGACUAUAAUGGGAACACCCCUUUAUUUUUUAUAAAAAGAGGUGAUGGGAUAGUCCAUUCCACCUGGUAACAGGUGG
rnacentral:ncRNA from 1 species